CUUCCCAUAUAAGGAAGUGCAACUCCACCUAUUGGAGUGGGUCCAGAAGAGGGUCAUGAUGAUGAUCAGAGGGCUGGUGUACCUCUCGUGUGAAGACAGGCUGAGAGAGUUGGGGUUAUUCA